rnacentral:RNase_P_RNA from 1 species
UUUGACAACUUGAUACUCGCCCUCCUGACUUAGUCGGGAAGGAGGAAAGUCCGAACACCAGAGAGCAAGGACAGUUGUUAACGGCAACCCUUCACUUCGGUGGAGAGGGAAAGUGCCACAGAGACGAUACUACCCUGUACCCUACGUGGUACGGGGGAAAGGUGAAAAGUUCUACUUAAGGCAGAAAGCUCUCAAGUGAUUGAGAGGCCUGGGUAAACCCUGUCUGGUGCAAGGCUGGUGGAUUUUUUAUUUUCUUAACGUCUGCUCGACGGAAAAUGAAAGACCCGGCCGCUUGAUCCCGCCAGCAAUGACGGGGCUAGAGAGAUGAGUAUCUUCCGGUUUAAAACCGGAAACAGAAUUCGGCUUAAAAGUUGUCAGGGUAA